ensembl:snoRNA
UGGUCAUAUACCAAGGCUUUCAGGACUCACACUUCCUGACUUGCUGUGGAAUUGACCAGAAAUUAAACCCCAUCCCAGCCGGCUUCUGCAGCUCCGUGCUGGAGGAGACCUGCUGGGAACAAAG